rnacentral:rRNA from 1 species
UAAGAGAGUUUGAUCCUGGCUCAGGAUGAACGCUGGCGGUAUGCCUAACACAUGCAAGUCGAACGAAAAUUUAUAAUUUAAAUUUAAGUGGCGGACGGGUGAGUAACACGUGAGAAUUUGCCUUUAGGUUGGGAAUAACAAUUGGAAACGAUUGCUAAUACCCGUAGUGGCCAAUUGGUUAAAGAAUUAAUAAUUUGCCUAAAGAGAAGCUCGCGGCUGAUUAGCUUGUUGGUAAGGUAAUGGCUUACCAAGGCGACGAUCAGUAUCUGGUUUGAGAGGAUGAUCAGACACACUGGAACUGAGACACGGUCCAGACUCCUACGGGAGGCAGCAGCGGGGAAUUUUCCGCAAUGGGCG